rnacentral:tRNA from 1 species
AGUAUGGUCAGCUAACCAAAGCUAUUGGGCCCAUACCCCAAAAAUGAAGGUUGAACCCCCUCCUAUACUA